UACGGGGGGAGCAAGCGUUGUUCGGAUUUACUGGGCGUAAAGGGCGCGUAGGCGGCCACCGCAAGUCGACUGUGAAAUCUCCGAGCUUAACUCGGAAAGGUCAACUGAAACUGUGCGACUAGAGUGCGGAAGGGGCAACUGGAAUUCUUGGUGUAGCGGUGAAAUGCGUAGAGAUCGGGAAGAACAUCGGUGGCGAAGGCGGUCUGCUGGGCCGUUGCUGACGCUGAGGCGCGACAGCGUGGGGAGCAAACAGG
rnacentral:rRNA from 1 species